AGCGAACGCUGGCGGCAGGCUUAACACAUGCAAGUCGAGCGGGCGUAGCAAUACGUCAGCGGCAGACGGGUGAGUAACGCGUGGGAACGUACCUUUUGGUUCGGAACAACACAGGGAAACUUGUGCUAAUACCGGAUAAGCCCUUACGGGGAAAGAUUUAUCGCCGAAAGAUCGGCCCGCGUCUGAUUAGCUAGUUGGUGAGGUAACGGCCCACCAAGGCGACGAUCAGUAGCUGGUCUGAGAGGAUGAUCAGCCACAUUGGGACUGAGACACGGCCCAAACUCCUACGGGAGGCAGCAGUGGGGAAUAUUGGACAAUGGGGGCAACCCUGAUCCAGCCAUGCCGCGUGAGUGAUGAAGGCCCUAGGGUUGUAAAGCUCUUUUGUGCGGGAAGAUAAUGACGGUACCGCAAGAAUAAGCCCCGGCUAACUUCGUGCCAGCCGCCGCAGUAA
rnacentral:rRNA from 1 species